rnacentral:rRNA from 1 species
AUGCCUGUUCGAGCGUCAUUU